CCCUAGCCCCGAUAGUAGCGGCAUCCUUUUUUGCUUUUUUUCAAAGCGAAAAAGAUAUAGCGGAUAGCGGGAAUAGCU
rnacentral:sRNA from 1 species